UACGAAGGGGGCUAGCGUUGCUCGGAAUCACUGGGCGUAAAGCGCACGUAGGCGGACUCUUAAGUCAGGGGUGAAAUCCUGGAGCUCAACUCCAGAACUGCCUUUGAUACUGGGAGUCUUGAGUUCGGGAGAGGUGAGUGGAACUGCGAGUGUAGAGGUGAAAUUCGUAGAUAUUCGCAAGAACACCAGUGGCGAAGGCGGCUCACUGGCCCGAUACUGACGCUGAGGUGCGAAAGCCAGGGGAGCAAACGGG
rnacentral:rRNA from 1 species